GUGUCAGCCGCCGCGGUAAUACAGAGGUCUCAAGCGUUGUUCGGAUUCAUUGGGCGUAAAGGGUGCGUAGGCGGUGUCGUAAGUCGGAUGUGAAAUCCCGGGGCUUAACUUCGGAACUGCAUUCGAUACUGCGAUACUCGAGGACUCGAGAGGAGAUUGGAAUUCACGGUGUAGCAGUGAAAUGCGUAGAUAUCGUGAGGAAGACCAGUGGCGAAGGCGGAUCUCUGGAGAGUUCCUGACGCUGAGGCACGAAGGCCAGGGGAGCAAACGGGAUUAGAUACCCUUGUAGUCC
rnacentral:rRNA from 1 species